rnacentral:rRNA from 1 species
UACGGGGGGGGCAAGCGUUGUUCGGAAUUACUGGGCGUAAAGGGCGUCGUAGGUGGCCAACUAACGUCAUACGUGAAAUACCCUCGGCUUAACCGGGGAACUGCGUCUGAUACUGGAUGGCGUUGAGGUUGGGAGAGGGAGUGCGGAAUUCCAGGUGUAGCGGUGAAAUGCGUAGAUAUCUGGAGGAACACCGGUGGCGAAGGCGGCAUCCUGGACCAAUUCUGACACUGAGGAGCGAAAGCCAGGGGAGCAAACGGG